rnacentral:rRNA from 1 species
GAUGAACGCUGGCGGCGUGCUUAACACAUGCAAGUCGAACGAGAAUCAACGGAUUGAGGAUUCGUCCAAAUGAAGUUGAGGAAAGUGGCGGACGGGUGAGUAACGCGUGAGGAACCUGCCUCGGAGUGGGGAAUAACAGUUGGAAACAGCUGCUAAUACCCCAUAGUAUCGAGAGAUGAAAGGGGUGGGAAACCACUUGCCAAGGGAUGAACCCAAGUGAGAUUAGGUAGUUGGUGGGGUAAAGGCCUACCAAGCCGACGAUCUCUAGCUGGUCUGAGAGGAUGGCCAGCCACACUGGGACUGAGACACGGCCCAG